AAGACCUUUAAAUGACAGUCCCGUGAGGCUGAGAAGGUAACGGCAUAUGCGAAUGGAGAAGCUAUAUCUAUAGCCGCCCCUCUAUUUUCAUGUACAAAACCUCUCAUCAUACGGUGGGAGGUUUUUUGUUU
rfam:Bacillus sp. LL01 scaffold3.1, whole genome shotgun sequence.